rnacentral:rRNA from 1 species
UACGUAGGGGCCGAGCGUUGUCCGGAGUUAUUGGGCGUAAAGCGCGCGCAGGCGGCCUCGCGCGCCCGACGUGAAAGCCCCCGGCUUAACCGGGGAGGGUCGUUGGGGACGGCGGGGCUUGAGGGCGGGAGAGGGUGGUGGAAUUCCCGGUGUAGUGGUGAAAUGCGUAGAGAUCGGGAGGAACACCGGUGGCGAAGGCGGUGGUCUGGGCCGGCACUGACGCUGAGGAGCGAAAGCGUGGGGAGCGAACAGG